CCUCCAUGAGCAGUGUUUGCUUUCCCAGCUCCUUCCCCGGCAGCCCACAGCAGACGUCUGGGGGGAGCAGCACUGCUUGCCUCUUGAAGGGUGAUUUCAUGGCCAGGCCGGGAAUGUGCGCCGCGUCCCUCUGCCACGGGGCAGAGAUGCUGCUGGAGGAGGUUCUGCUCAUCUGCUGUGCUCCUGAGAUGGGCACCCUCUGCACCGCCAAGGGGCCUGCUGCUGGCUCUGAGCGCUGUGUGCUGCUGGACAGCCGGCUGUGCUCGUGCUGUAGGGGGGCCAUGCGGUUUGGCAAGGGGCUGAAUGGGGACCCAGCACCAUCUGCAGCACAGAGCGGGCGUGAGACCCCCAGAGCCCCAGAGCUGGCCUUGGGCAAACAGGGAAACCCAACCCACAGCGAGCCCUGCGCAUGGACAGGGCUGUGCCUGGCCAUGGCCACAAGCCCAGGUCUGCGGGAGUGGGGACCCAGGUGGAAUGCUGUGCCAUCUCUGCAUCUGCAGCACCACAAACACAGCCCAUACACACAUCUGGGCUUUCCUUGGAACCCCGUGGCUUUUGAAGGCUGUGUCAGCUCAGUGAGCAGCUCCUCCAGCUUGGGGCAUCCUCCUUGGGGAUGCAGUCAGUGGCAGGGAGAACAAACAGACAGCACCGGGGCAGGAAUGGUGUGUAAGGUAGAACCCAGGGUGGAUUCGGGAACAGAUACAGGCAGGGAGUUGAAAGUCACACGUGGAGGCGUGAGGGAGACAUUAGGUUUGCCAUCAAAGGCUCAUCCCCAUGGUCUGGGCAUCCAAGACCAUUUUGCUUAAUUACAUCCUGAAAGUGUGCAAAAGAAGUGCUGGGAGAGAGGAUUUCACAGCAGUCCUGCAGGCUGGAGGGAGGGGAACUGCAGAGGAGGAGGCUGAAGUGCUCCUGUCCCAACCAGAGAAACAGCCAGGGCCGUGCAAACGGGCAGAAGAGCCCCGUGGUGCCCAGCCCAGCCCAGAAGAGGGCCGAGGGAAGAGCCAGCAUCACCCCGCACUGCACUGCACACCCAUACACGUUCAUGCUCCUAAUCGUAUCCAGUUCCAGGUUAGUAAUGAGCACAGUUCCCUGAGCAUCGCAGGGGCAUCGUGGGAGCUCUGAAACAAGUACAGGAUCAGCAAGGACAAUAUCUGGUAGCCAUCACAGGGAUUUCUGA
rnacentral:lncRNA from 1 species